AUUUGAGUAGUUUAGUUUAAAAUUCAAAGUUGUGGUCUUUGAGAGGUAGUUUACCUUAAAUC
rnacentral:tRNA from 1 species